UACGAAGGGGCUAGCGUUGUUCGGAAUCACUGGGCGUAAAGCGCACGUAGGCGGCUUUUUAAGUCAGGGGUGAAUCCUGGAGCUCAACUCCAGAACUGCCUUUGAGUACUGGGAAACUUGAGUCCGGAAGAGGUGAGUGGAACUCCGAGUGUAGAGGUGAAAUUCGUAGAUAUUCGGAAGAACACCAGUGGCGAAGGCGGCUCACUGGUCCGGUACU
rnacentral:rRNA from 1 species